rnacentral:rRNA from 1 species
UACGUAGGGAGCAAGCGUUGUCCGGAAUCAUUGGGCGUAAGGCGCGCGUAGGUGGCCUCGUAAGUCCGCUGUGAAAGUCAAAGGCUCAACCUUUGAAAGCCGGUGGAUACUGUGAGGCUAGAGUACGGAAGAGGCGAGUGGAAUUCCUGGUGUAGCGGUGGAAUGCGCAGAUAUCAGGAGGAACACCAAUAGCGAAGGCAGCUCGCUGGGACGUUACUGACACUGAGGCGCGAAAGCGUGGGGAGCGAACAGG